rnacentral:rRNA from 1 species
AGAUUUGAUCCUGCUCAGAUUGAACGCUGGCGGCAUGCUUUACUACAUGCAAGUCGAGCGGGCAGGCGCCGGGGGCGAACCCCGUGGCGGCGGAGCGGCGAACGGGUGAGUAAUGCAUCGAACGUGUCCUGGAGUGGGGGAUAACCCGGCGAAAGCCGGGCUAAUACCGCAUACGCUCUACGGAGGAAAGCGGGGGAUCCGCAAGGACCUCGCGCUUUAGGAGCGGCCGAUGCCCGAUUAGCUAGUUGGUGAGGUAAAGGCUCACCAAGGCGACGAUCGGUAGCUGGUCUGAGAGGAUGAUCAGCCACACUGGGACUGAGACACGGCCCAGACUCCUACGGGAGGCAGCAGUGGGGAAUUUUGGACAAUGGGGGCAACCCUGAUCCAGCCAUGCCGCGUGCGGGAAGAAGGCCUUCGGGUUGUAAACCGCUUUUAGCCGGGAAGAAAAGGCGCAGGCCAAUACCCUGCGUUUUUGACGGUACCGGCGGAAUAAGCACCGGCUAACUACGUG